CAGAAACCGCCUGUUGAAUGUGGCCAAGGGGUCUGCUCAAAAAUCAUUCAGCAGCCCGUCCGAACUCCCACUGCCCUAUACAGUCUGUAAAGUUAGCACGCAGGAUUCUUCAGGACCCCUCUCGCAUCCUGUUUCCUUAGUUUGAGUGUCUCCCCU